rnacentral:tRNA from 1 species
AUCUUAUUAGUAUAAAAUAUUACACUUAGUUUCCACCUAAAAAAUCUAAAAAGAUAAGAUA